rnacentral:rRNA from 1 species
GGUCCGGUGAAGUGUUCGGAUCGCUACAAUGCGGGCGGUUUGCCUCCCGCGACUCGGCGAAAAGUCCAUUGAACGUUAUCAUUUAGAGGAAGGAGAAGUCGUAACAAGGUUUUCGUAGAUGAACCUGCGGAAUGAUUAUUG